AAAGAUAGUUUGGGGAGACUCUACUAGAAUGAUUCAAUGUAUGCAAACUUGUAGCUGAUCCUAAUGCCACAUUGUAAUUUCUUUGCAUAUAUAAUAUGCUUUAAGGUACAUUGAUAUUAGCUUGGUAUAUGAAGAGUGUGCUUGACAUAUAACUUCUCAAGAUUUUAGUUGAAGUGGUUCGUGUUUAUUUUAUCAUUUCUAAUUUUAUGUUUGUCAUUGACUCUGAAGCAUGUACUCCGACACAAAUAUCUGACACAACAUGGACACGUAAAGAAAAAAGGCUGGACACUGACACCACUGCAUAUAUUAAAGAUCUAAAUUGAGAAUCAAAGUGGAUCUAAAUUGAGCAAUUUAUUUUAUUAAAAACAUUUUUUCUGUGCUUCAUCACUGAUCCUUGGUUUGCUAUGAUUUGAUUUUAUAUAUCUGAGAUGUUGCUGCUGCGGUUUUUGUAAGACAGAGUUUGUGGCCGGAACUUGUGCCAAAUCUGCAGACUUCUAUUCAAAAUAGCCAUCUGCUCAGACCCUUUCAGGUAUUCGAAAUUCACUGUUGGUGGCCUUGAUAAUUUGUAAAUUUUUGUUAUUUAAUGCAAUUUGUCAUGAUAUGCUUUUUAU
rnacentral:lncRNA from 1 species